CAAUAGCGUAUAUUAAAGUUGUUGCAGUUAAAAAGCUCGUAGUUGGAUGUCUGGCUCUGUGUUGCGGUCCACCGCAAGGUGAGCACUGCGAUGUGGGGUCUUCCUCUUGAAUGCUGCGUGUGCUCUUAGUUGAGUGUGCGUGGGGUUUGGGAUCUUUACUUUGAAAAAUUAGAGUGUUCAAAGCAGGCGAUUGCUUGAAUAUAUUAGCAUGGAAUAAUGGAAUAGGACUUGGGUUCUAUUUUGUUGGUUUCUAGGACCGAGGUAAUGAUUAAUAGGGGUAGUUGGGGGUGCUAGUAUUGACCGGCCAGAGGUGAAAUUCUUGGAUUCGGUCAAGACUAACUUAUGCGAAAGCAUUCACCAAGGAUGUCUUCUUUAAUCAAGAACGAAAGUUGGGGGAUCGAAGAUGAUCAGAUACCAU
rnacentral:rRNA from 1 species